GAGUUGUUAGGAGGUUUCUGCUCAUCUCACAGACCUCCAAUUCCCAGAGUUCUCUAGGAAGAGGAAUUGAUUGUUAAACCACUCUGGGAAUUGUAGCUGUGAGGCUUACAGAGGUGUCCUAACAACUCUCAGCAUCCUUAACAAACUACAGUUCCCAGCAGAGAAAAAUGUAGGGUAUUAACUAACUAACUAACUAACUAACUAACUAACUGUAAAGGUAAAGGGACCCCUGACCAUUAGGUCCAGUCAUGACUGACUCUGGGGUUGCGGCGCUCAUCUCGCUUUAUUGGCCAAGGGAGCCGGCGUACAGCUUCUGGGUCAUGUGGCCAGCAUGACUAAGCCGCUUCUGGCGAACCAGAGCAGCACACGGAAACGCCAUUUACCUUCCCGCUGGAGCGGUACCUAUUUAUCUACUUGCACUUUGACAUGCUUUCGAACUGCUAGGUUGGCAGGAGCAGGGACUGAGCAACGGGAGCUCACCCUGUCGUGGGAUUCGAACCGCCAACCUUCUGAUCGGCAAGUCCUAGGCUCUGUGGUUUAAGCCACAGCGCCACCCGCAUCCCUCAACUAAUAAUACUAAUUCUAAUAAUAAUGACCCUUCAGAGAGAGGACUGUUCUCUGCAAAAAGACACAUAGUCACUCUUGUACACAUUCCUUCCCCCUCUUUACCCCACUUUGAGUGAGCCCCUGGAGAAGUUGAGUGACAAGACCAGUAGGGAAGGAGCUUUCAAGUGGCGAAUUCCCAUUGGUGCAUGAAAACAGUGGCCACCUAUCACAAGGGGUGGAGGGGAGUGAGCAGCCAUGCACAUUGGCCAUAUUGGCAUCUCAGCCACCUGAGCUGCCGUUCGGGACCUGCUUCUUCUCCUGAGUCAAAGAUGUUCCCCCUGCCUGAGAUUAAUUUGUGACAAAAUGUCAUAUUAAUAGAGCUCAGCAUCCCCGGGGAUAAAUAUGGCCUUUUGUUGAGCUAUCAUGGCGGCACUCUAUAUAGAACUGCAGAGAGUUAUUGAGAAGGUUUUGUUUUUGGGGAAAUGUCAUGCCACUGGAAGAAGUGUGCUUAACUGGUGACUAUGGAGCAAAGCAUUAUGAUGAUGAGUGAGGGGUUGUGACAUUUCCCUUUUUCUCUCCUCUACUCCAUAUCUCAUCCCUAAUUACACUCGCGCCUUUGGGUGUCAUCUGAUUAAGAAAGCAAUGGGGAAACUGUCAGGUAUCCAUAAAUCUGAUUCAUUUACUAACAAAGGAUCGUGCUUGUUUUGAGGAGGAAAGCUCGUCUUCUCUCCAAGGUGUGAAGAAGAUGCACACCAUAUGUUCGUUCAAGGGUGGGGAACCUCUGGCUUUUCAGAUGCUGCUGGACUCUUACAGUUUCCAUCAUCCCUGACCAUAGGCCAUACUGGCUGGGGCUGAUGGUAGUUGGAGUCCAACAACAUCUGGGGGUGGGGCUUCCAGGCCCCAACACUCUGGGCAGCUUCUAGCACGUAUAGAAACAUAGUACCCCUGCCUGAACAUCCAGUAGGGUAGAUGCUAUUCAGGCUGAUCCUGAGUGCAAUUCUACCUCCCAUGUUGAGUCCAUGGCCUCAUCCUCAGAAGAUGAGGAGUCUUAUCCCAGAUCAUGAGAGUCAGAAACUGUGUGCCCUGCCAAGGUACUGGGGCAACUGCCCAAGGU